rnacentral:rRNA from 1 species
UAGGGAAUCUUCGGCAAUGGGGGGCAACCCUGACCGAGCAACGCCGCGUGAGUGAAGAAGGUUUUCGGAUCGUAAAGCUCUGUUGUAAGAGAAGAACGUGUGUGAGAGUGGAAAGUUCACACAGUGACGGUAACUUACCAGAAGGGACGGCUAACUACGUGCCGG